rnacentral:rRNA from 1 species
AACGCGAAGAACCUUACCUGGGCUCGAACGACUGGUAGUAGUCCCGAUGAAAGUUGGGGCGACCCGCAAGGGAGCCAGCCGAGGUGCUGCAUGGUUGUCGUCAGCUCGUGUCGUGAGAUGUUGGGUUAAGUCCCGCAACGAGCGCAACCCCUAUCCUGUGUUGCUACCCGCAAGGGAGGACUCUCAGGAGACUGCCGCGGAUAACGUGGAGGAAGGUGGGGUCGACGUCAAAUCAUCAUGGCCUUUAUGUCCAGGGCCACACACGUGCUACAAUGGCGUAUACAGAGGGAAGCAAGACCGCAAGGUGGAGCAAAUCCCUAAAGUACGCCCCAGUUCAGAUUGUGGGCUGCAAUUCGCCCACAUGAAGGCGGAAUCGCUAGUAAUCGCAGAUCAGCAGGCUGCGGUGAAUACGUUCCCGGGCCUUGUACACACCGUACGUC